rnacentral:rRNA from 1 species
GUACACUUUAAACCCUUUAACGAGGAUCUAUUGGAGGGCAAGUCUGGUGCCAGCAGCCGCGGUAAUUCCAGCUCCAAUAGCGUAUAUUAAAGUUGUUGCAGUUAAAAAGCUCGUAGUUGGAUCUCGGGUCCAGGCCUGUGGUCCGCCGCAUGGCGGUUACUGCUCGU